AGAUGUGAGGGCGAUCUGGCUGCGAUAUCUGCCACCCCAUUGAUUGCCAGGGUUGAUUCGGCUGAUCUGGCUGGCUAUGCAGGUGUCCCCUUCCUUUCUCACUGCUCCAUGUGCAUCCCUCCCAAAGCUGCAUUCUCCGUCAAAGAGGAUGGUUUUCCCCAAUAGAGACAUGUCGGGUCUUCAGUCGAAGGCAUACGAGUAGCUUCUUCUAGCAUUUGCCAUACGAGUAGCUGAGCUCCCCUGAUAGAACCUCCAAACAAGCUCUCAAAAACAAGAGUUUAGAAAAAUGAGGCAAUGUACACUUAAGUGCAAUAACAUCCCAUGUCCCACAUU
rnacentral:snRNA from 1 species